CCCACUAUAGUUUAUUUAAAACAUUGAAUUGCAAAUUCGGAAAAGAAAUAAAACAUUUCUAGUGUGU
rnacentral:tRNA from 1 species